rnacentral:rRNA from 3 species
GUCACGGGUGCCUCCA